UACGUAGGGUGCAAGCGUUGUCCGGAAUUAUUGGGCGUAAAGAGCUCGUAGGCGGUCUGUCGCGUCUGCUGUGAAAACUCAGGGCUUAACCCUGAGCUUGCAGUGGGUACGGGCAGACUAGAGUGCGGUAGGGGAGACUGGAAUUCCUGGUGUAGCGGUGAAAUGCGCAGAUAGUCAGGAGGAACACCGGUGGCGAAGGCGGGUCUCUGGGCCGGUAACUGACGCUGGAGGAGCGGAAAGCAUGGG
rnacentral:rRNA from 1 species